rnacentral:rRNA from 1 species
AUCUUAGGUAAAUCCGGGGUUUCAAGGCCGAGAGCUGAUGACGAGUCGUCUUUUAGAUGAUGAAGUGGUUGAUGCCAUGCUUCCAAGAAAAGCUUCUAAGCUUCAGGUAACCAGGAACCGUACCCCAAACCGACACAGGUGGUCGGGUAGAGAAUACCAAGGCGCUUGAGAGAACUCGGGUGAAGGAACUAGGCAAAAUGGCACCGUAACUUCGGGAGAAGGUGCGCCGGCUAGGGUGAAGGAUUUACUCCGUAAGCUCUGGCUGGUCGAAGAUACCAGGCCGCUGCGACUGUUUAUUAAAAACACAGCACUCUGCAAACACGAAAGUGGACGUAUAGGGUGUGACGCCUGCCCGGUGCCGGAAGGUUAAUUGAUGGGGUUAGCGCAAGCGAAGCUCUUGAUCGAAGCCCCGGUAAACGGCGGCCGUAACAAUAACGGUCCUAAGGUAGCGAAAUUCCUUGUCGGGUAAGUUCCGACCUGCACGAAUGGCGUAACGAUGGCGGCGCUGUCUCCACCCGAGACUCAGUGAAAUUGAAAUCGCCGUGAAGAUGCAGUGUAUCCGCGGCUAGACGGAAAGACCCCGUGAACCUUUACUGUAGCUUUGCACUGGACUUUGAGCCUGCUUGUGUAGGAUAGGUGGGAGGCUUUGAAGCGUGGACGCCAGUUCGCGUGGAGCCAUCCUUGAAAUACCACCCUGGCAUGCUUGAGGUUCUAACUCUGGUCCGUAAUCCGGAUCGAGGACAGUGUAUGGUGGGCAGUUUGACUGGGGCGGUCUCCUCCUAAAGAGUAACGGAGGAGUACGAAGGUGCGCUCAGACCGGUCGGAAAUCGGUCGCAGAGUAUAAAGGCAAAAGCGCGCUUGACUGCGAGACAGACACGUCGAGCAGGUACGAAAGUAGGUCUUAGUGAUCCGGUGGUUCUGUAUGGAAGGGCCAUCGCUCAACGGAUAAAAGGUACUCCGGGGAUAACAGGCUGAUACCGCCCAAGAGUUCAUAUCGACGGCGGUGUUUGGCACCUCGAUGUCGGCUCAUCACAUCCUGGGGCUGAAGCCGGUCCCAAGGGUAUGGCUGUUCGCCAUUUAAAGUGGUACGCGAGCUGGGUUUAGAACGUCGUGAGACAGUUCGGUCCCUAUCUGCCGUGGACGUUUGAGAUUUGAGAGGGGCUGCUCCUAGUACGAGAGGACCGGAGUGGACGAACCUCUGGUGUUCCGGUUGUCACGCCAGUGGCAUUGCCGGGUAGCUAUGUUCGGAAAAGAUAACCGCUGAAAGCAUCUAAGCGGGAAACUUGCCUCAAGAUGAGAUCUCACUGGGAACUUGAUUCCCCUGAAGGGCCGUCGAAGACUACGACGUUGAUAGGCUGGGUGUGUAAGCGUUGUGAGGCGUUGAGCUAACCAGUACUAAUUGCCCGUGAGGCUUGAC